rnacentral:rRNA from 1 species
AACGUAGGACGCAAGCGUUAUCCGGAGUUACUGGGCGUAAAGCGCGAGCAGGCGGCUCGACAAGUUCGCUGUGAAAGCUCCCGGCUCAACCGGGCGAGGCCAGUGGAAACUAUCGAGCUGGAGGGCAGUAGAGGCAGACGGAAUUCCGGGUGGAGUGGUGAAAUGCGUAGAGAUCCGGAGGAACACCAGAGGCGAAGGCGGCCUGCUGGGCUGCACCUGACGCUGAGCCGCGGAAAGCCAGGGGAGCGAACGGG